rnacentral:rRNA from 1 species
AGCAGCCGCGGUAAUUCCAGCUCCAAUAGCGUAUAUUAAAGUUGUUGCAGUUAAAAAGCUCGUAGUUGAAUUUCGGGGUCAGUAGAUUGGUCGUGCCACUGGUAUGUACUGGUCUUACUGGCUCCUCCUUCCUGAUGAACCGUAAUGCCAUUAAUUUGGUGUUGCGGGGAGACUGGACUGUUACUUUGAAAAAAUUAGAGUGUUUAAAGCAGGCUAACGCUUGAAUACAUUAGCAUGGAAUAAUGAAAUAGGACGUUCGAUCUUAUUUUGUUGGUUUCUAGGAUUGACGUAAUGAUUAAUAGGGAUAGUUGGGGGCAUUAGUAUUCAAUUGUCAGAGGUGAAAUUCUUGGAUUUAUUGAAGACUAACUACUGCGAAAGCAUUUGCCAAGGAUGUUUUCAUUAAUCAAGAACGAAAGUUAGGGGAUCGAAGACGAUCAGAUACCGUCGUAGUCUUAACCAUAAACUAUGCCGACUAGGGAUCGGAUGAUGUUAAUUUUUUAAUGACUCAUUCGGCGCCUUACG